rnacentral:lncRNA from 1 species
CUGCGACAAAAGCAAAUAUAACAGUGAUGCUGACGCUGUCUACACUGGAUGUGACAACAAAUUCCCGACAAUAUUAACUGGUAAGACUGCAACAGCAAAUUUGAGAAUAUGCUAAAUAAAUUCAAUAAAUGAAAAAAAAUACUAAAGAGACUUUCUCUUGCUCAAAUACACACACACACACACACACACACAAAGAGAGAGAGAGAACACACACAAAGAGAGAGAGAGAGAUUAACUGGUAAUACUGAAACAGCAGAUUUAAACUUUUUUUUACAGUCUAUUAUUACCUACCGGUAUAUGAACUUCAUCCAGUUUUGUAAGGUCACCUUGCUUUUCUCAAAAACUGAUCCCGCCCUGCAUGUCUUUUUCACUUUACUAUGUGUUCGUCUUCUACAUUUCCUGAAAUCACCAUAAACAUAAUUUAGAUGUAAUGAAAUAACGUACAAUAUUAUAAUAUAUUUUAGCAUGUUAAAUUGUAGUUGUACUUAUAUAUAUUUUUUUUUUUUCUACAUUUACCAUUGGAAUCCAUCGCCUGUUUGUGUCUUCUGGAAUUUCAUUUUUUUUUUUACACAGUCUGCAUUUCAUCCUUGACUUGAUGAGUCUAUGUUUUUGUAGCCAUUCGACUAACUGCUGGUUUGCGCACAAAGUGAAACAACUUUCGUUCCAAGUGCCAUUUUUUUGUUGUUCAAAAACCUGCAACCAAGCAAAUAUAUAUAUAAAAAACCUACGUCCGGUUCAGUAUGCGCCUUUUUUUCCUUAUUUGGAGCAGUGCCCUCAUUGGACAAUUGGGUUGUUUGUGAUUGUAUUAUAAUAACUUAACAUUUCGAAGCUUUACUGUUCUAGGCUUUUGAAAUUCAAGGGAAAGUGCAUGUGGUCCCAGGACGUUUACGAAAUUAUCUAAAUCUUAAAAAACAUACCUAAAAAGGUUAUAAAAAUGUUGGAAGAUGUUAAAAUAACUGGGAUAAAGCCAGCCAUUAAUAUCAUUGCACUUUGGAGUAAUGAACUCGACGAAGGGGAGUCACACCAAAUGAUUGAAUUCAUUAGCCGAGAUGGGAGAUACACGCAAAUAGGGUUGGAGAACCGUAUGACAUACAGUUCCAGCUCGGAAGAAAGCAUGGCGAUGGAGAAGAGAAUUCCGCGGAAAAGGGCACGACCUCAACGUCUGAUUGACGAGAAUGACGAAGAAGCCGUGUUUCUACCAGAGCAUGUUAUCCAGAGGUAUAAAAAGGUCCUGCAGUACAUCGAUAAGGGAGUCACCAAAACCCUGGCUUACCGCAAGUGUGGGAUUGACAGAAAAACCAUUGUUGACACUGCAGCAAUAGCGGAGCUGGAGGCGUGUGACACUGAAGCCUACAAGAACUUGCGUGAAAAUGUUCAUAGAGGGCAAAAACUGUCACAAUUUGCAGAGAAAUGCAGGGAAAUUUGCAAGACAGAGCCACUUCAAACUUUGAUUGAAGAUAAAAAGAAAAAUGGCCAGCUAAUUGACCUCUGUCACAGACAAAAAUUACUUUUGUGUGUGUUGGAAAGGUUGAAGUUCAGGCCUUGAGAGUUGACGUUUUAUAGUUUUUAUAGUCAGUUUUUUUUUUUUUUGGUCUAACAGGUUUGGACUUAAAACAAUGUUUUCUUUUUUUUUUUAUCUCCUGUUUUAUAGUUUUUUUUUUUUUUUGAAAACAUGUUUUCAUGUACACUUUUUGCAAUAAAUUUCAAUGUUCU